rnacentral:rRNA from 1 species
GACGAACGCUGGCGGCGUGCUUAACACAUGCAAGUCGAACGGAAAGGCCCUGCUUUUGUGGGGUGCUCGAGUGGCGAACGGGUGUGUAACACGUGAGUAACCUGCCCUUGACUUUGUGAUAACUUCAGGAAACUGGGGCUAAUACCGGAUAGGAGCUCCUGCUGCAUGGUGGGGGUUGGAAAGUUUCGGCGGUUGUGGAUGUACUCGCGGCUUAUCAGCUUGUUGGUGGGGUAGUGGCUUACCAAGGCUUUGACGGGUAGCCGGCCUGAGAGGGUGAACGGGCACAUUGGGACUGAGAGACGGCGCAGACGCGUAUGGGAGGCAGCAGGGGGGAAUAUGGCACAAUGGGCGGAAGCCUGAUGAAGCAACGCCGCGUGCGGGAUGACGGCCUUCGGGUGGUAAACCGCUUUAGCCUGUGACGAAGCGUGAGUGACGGUAAUGGGUAAAGAAGCACCGGCUAACUACGUG